CCUACGGGUGGCAGCAGUAGGGAAUAUUGCUCAAUGGGGAAACCCUUAAGCAGCAACGCCGCGUGGAGGGUGGAAGUUUUCGGAUUUUAAACUCCUUUUGUUAGAGAAGAUAAUGACGGUAUCUAACGAAUAAGCACCGGCUCACUCCGUGCCAGCAGCCGCGGUAAUACGGAGGGGCCAAGCGUUACUCGGAAUCACUGGGCGUAAAGAGCGCGGAGGCGGGAUAGCAAGUCAGAUGUGAAAUCCUAUGGCUUAACCAUAGAACUGCAUUUGAAACUGGUAUUCUAGAGUAUGGGAGAGGUAGGUGGAAUUCUUGGUGUAGGGGUAAAAUCCGUAGAGAUCAAGAGGAAUACUCAUUGCGAAGGCGACCUGCUAGAACAUAACUGACGCUGAUGCGCGAAAGCGUGGGGAGCAAACAGGAUUAGAUACCCGAGUAGUC
rnacentral:rRNA from 1 species